AAUACGUAGGGCGCAAGCGUUGUCCGGAAUUAUUGGGCGUAAAGAGCUCGUAGGCGGCCUGUCACGUCGGGUGUGAAAGCUCGGGGCUCAACCCCGGGUCUGCAUUCGAUACGGACAGGCUGGAGUGUGGUAGGGGAGAUCGGAAUUCCUGGUGUAGCGGUGAAAUGCGCAGAUAUCAGGAGGAACACCGGUGGCGAAGGCGGAUCUCUGGGCCAUUACUGACGCUGAGGAGCGAAAGCGUGGGGAGCGAACAGG
rnacentral:rRNA from 1 species